rnacentral:tRNA from 1 species
GGCUCUGAAGUAUAUAUUACGUUGAAUUGCAAAUUCAAAGAAGUAGCAUAAGCGCUGCCGGGGCUU